rnacentral:rRNA from 1 species
UACGUAGGGGCCUAGCGUUGUCCGGAUUUAUUGGGCGUAAAGAGCUCGUAGGCGGUUUGGUAAGUCGGGUGUGAAAUCUCCCGGCUCAACCGGGAGGGUGCGCCGAAUACUGAGGGACUUCGAGUGCGGGAGAGGAAAGUGGAAUUCCUGGUGUAGCGGUGAAAUGCGUAGAUAUCGGGAGGAACACCGGUGGCGAAGGCGGCCAUCUGGCCCAUUUUUGACGCUGAGGCGCGAAAGCGUGGGGAGCAAACAGG